rnacentral:rRNA from 1 species
GCAACUGCCCAACUGCAUAAAUACGUGUAGUGUGUGCGCCUGCAGUCACCGGCCACUCCUCACUGGAUCACUACCACUACUCGUAGCCUUCUUCUAGUGGCAGGGCUCUGCUUCUCAAUCCAGAUCUGGUUGUGUCUCCUUGUCUCUGGAGGAGGAAAAGGGCCAAGAGGAGGAAACAAGGAGCCGGAGGAGAAGGAGAAGAAGGAUGGUGAUGGUGGAUGGCAGCUUGGACGCAGAGAAGAUCGCAGGGUAUUUCAAGGGCAAGAGCAUCCUCAUCACCGGCGCCACUGGCUUCCUCGGAAAGAUUCUUGUGGAGAAGAUACUCCGGGUGCAGCCAGACGUGAGGAGGAUCUACCUGCUCGUGCGAGCCAUGGACGCCCACUCCGCCAAGCAACGCGUCGAGGCAGAGGUGACAGACACUGAGCUCUUCUGCCUCCUGAAAGAGAAGCAUGGCAAGGGAGGAUUCGAGCUGUUUGUGGAGGAGAAGGUUGUCCCUUUGGCCGGUGACGUCGUCUUCGAGAACAUGGGGCUAGAUGCUCCCAGGUUGGAGGAGCUGGCCAACGAGGUCGACAUCAUCGUCAAUGGAGCUGCAACCACCAACUUCUACGAAAGAUAUGACGUUGCGUUGGAUGUGAAUGUGAUGGGGGUGAAGUACCUGUGCCAGUUCGCCAAGAAGUGUGCCAAUCUCAAGAUGCUCCUCCAUGUUUCCACCGCAUUUGCAGCCGGCGACAGGGAAGGGCUGAUCAUGGAGAGGCCGUUCAAGAAGGGGGAGACCCUGAGGGAAGGCACCUACCUGGACAUCGACGCCGAGCUGCGGCUGGCCGGCGACGUGAAGAAGGAGCUAGAGCGGCAGGACGGCGGCGGCGGCGGCGACAAGACCAAAAGGGAGCGGAAAGGCAUGAAGGAGCUGGGGCUGGAGCGCUCCCGCCACUUCGGGUGGUCCAACACGUACGUGUUCACCAAGGCCAUGGGCGAGAUGCUGCUGGGGCAGCUCCACGGCGCCAUCCCGGUGGUGAUCCUGCGGCCCAGCAUCAUCACCAGCAUCCUCAGGGACCCGCUCCCCGGGUGGAUGCAGGGGACGCGGACCAUCGACACCAUCAUCAUCGGCUACGCCAAGCAGAACCUGUCGUGCUUCCUGGCGGACCUGGAGCUGACCAUGGACGUGAUCCCGGGGGACAUGGUGGCCAACGCCAUGAUGGUGGCCAUGGUGGCGCACUCGGAGGAGCAGGGCGCGGAGGUGAUGUACCACGCCACCUCCUCGCUGCGCAACCCGGCCCCCUACGGCGUGCUCUACGAGUCCGGCCGCCGGCACUUCUACGAGAACCCCAGGCUGAGCAAGGACGGGCGGGUCAUCCCCACCAAGGAGAUGCACUUCUUCAAGACCAUCGCCAGCUUCCACUUGUACAUGCUCAUCAAGUACAAGCUGCCACUCGAGAUCCUGCACGUGGUGAACCUGCUCCUCUGCGGCCUCUUGUCGCAACUCUACGACGAUCUCAACCGGAAAUACAAGUUCGUCAUGCAUCUCGUCGACGUCUACGGUCCCUUCGCCUUAUUCAAAGGAUGCUUCGACGACAUCAACUUGGAGCGGCUGCGAUUGACCAUGACCAAGACAAGCCCGGAGGAUGACAUGUUCAAUUUUGAUCCCAAGACCGUCGACUGGAACGACUACUUCUACAAAAUCCACAUACCGGGUGUCCUCAAGUAUGUGCUCAAGUAAAACCACAGCAAAAUUUAUCAAGAUAUAUGCACCUUAUCUUCUCCACAAAGCCAAAAACCACAUCGCGCGUGUUCUUCUUGCAUGGGUAUGUGAUGGAAAAACAAGGAAGACUUUUCACAUGCCGGCUAGAUUAUUAUGUUGGAGAAGGACAUCAUUGAUCGGUGAUAAAAACAAAAAAAACAAGCAUGUAUUCUUGAAUUAUAUGUUCAGGUUUGUGUAAUUUGCUCAUGUCUUGAAAUGAGCUGGGAUGAUAAAAUAUAUGUAUUCAUGUCAUGUUUGAAGCACAGGAAUUUCAC